CCUACGGGAGGCAGCAGUGGGGAAUCUUGCACAAUGGGCGCAAGCCUGAUGCAGCGACGCCGCGUGAGGGACAAAGGCCCUCGGGUUGUAAACCUCUUUCGGCAGGGAAGAAGCCGCAAGGUGACGGUACCUGCAGAAGAAGCCCCGGCUAACUACGUGCCAGCAGCCGCGGUAAU
rnacentral:rRNA from 1 species